rnacentral:Y_RNA from 1 species
GGCUGGUCCAAGUACAAUGUGUUUAUAACUAAUUGACCACUAUCAGUUACGAUUUAUUCCUUUUCCACUUCCACUAUUUCACUUGACUAGCCUAGA